rnacentral:ncRNA from 1 species
GGUGUAUCAGCCCGACCCCCCCGGGGCUGAUACACGACGACCUCCGCCUCCUCCCCCCCUGGCGGGGGUCGUCCCUU